AGAGUUUGAUCCUGGCUCAGAAUCAACGCUGGCGGCGCGCUUAACACAUGCAAGUCGCACGAGAAAGGGAGCAAUCCUGAGUAUAGUGGCGCACGGGUGAGUAACACGUGGAUGAUCUACCUCCUUGUGGGGAAUAACCCUGGGAAACCGGGGCUAAUACCGCAUACGUUCGAGAGAAGAAAGCCGAGAGGCGCAGGGAGAGGAGUCCGCGGUCGAUUAGCUAGUUGGCAGGGUAAUGGCCUACCAAGGCGACGAUCGAUAGCCGGCCUGAGAGGGUGACCGGCCACACUGGGACUGAGACACGGCCCAGACUCCUACGGGAGGCAGCAGUGGGGAAUAUUGCACAAUGGGCGCAAGCCUGAUGCAGCGACGCCGCGUGAGGGAUGACGGCCUUCGGGUUGUAAACCUCUUUCAGUAGGGAAGAAGCGAAAGUGACGGUACCUGCAGAAGAAGCGCCGGCUAACUACGUGCCAGCAGCCGCGGUAAUACGUAGGGCGCAAGCGUUAUCCGGAAUUAUUGGGCGUAAAGAGCUCGUAGGCGGUUUGUCGCGUCUGCCGUGAAAGUCCGGGGCUCAACUCCGGAUCUGCGGUGGGUACGGGCAGACUAGAGUGAUGUAGGGGAGACUGGAAUUCCUGGUGUAGCGGUGAAAUGCGCAGAUAUCAGGAGGAACACCGAUGGCGAAGGCAGGUCUCUGGGCAUUAACUGACGCUGAGGAGCGAAAGCAUGGGGAGCGAACAGGAUUAGAUACCCUGGUAGUCC
rnacentral:rRNA from 1 species